GGUUUUAUAGUCAAUUAUGAUUUUAAAUUGCAAAUUUAAAGGUAAAGUAUUCUUUUUAAGCCU
rnacentral:tRNA from 1 species